rfam:Abiotrophia defectiva ATCC 49176 genomic scaffold Scfld0, whole genome shotgun sequence.
GGUAUUGUUUGCCCCACUAUGAGCCCCGGAAACUCAAUAGUAAUGUCAAACAACUA